GCCUCCUUAGCUCAGUCGGUAGAGCAGAGGACUGUUAAUCCGCAGGUCACUGGUUCAAGUCCAGUAGGGGGAGCCA
rnacentral:tRNA from 1 species